rnacentral:misc_RNA from 1 species
ACAAACUUGGUCAUUUAGAGGAAGUAAAAGUCGUAACAAGGUUUCCGUAGGUGAACCUGCGGAAGGAUCAUUAAUGAGCUUUUAAAGGGAAAGAGCAAGCCAUCUAAUCUAUUUUGGUUGUCUUGUUCUUUCCUGAUACUAUCUCUUUUCUCCCUUUAUGUUAUUAUUACUUAGUUGCUUUGGCAGCAUAUGCUGACUCUUUAGUUAGUGUCUGCUUAUGUCUGCCAGGGGAUACUUAACUAUAAACUCAUUUUGUUACCAGACAAUUGGUUAUGUUUAGUCAGAAAAUUAUUUACUUUAAUAGUAUAUAAAACUUUCAACAAUGGAUCUCUUGGUUCUGGCAUCGAUGAAGAACGCAGC